rnacentral:rRNA from 1 species
ACGCUGGCGGCAGGCCUAACACAUGCAAGUCGAGCGGCAGCACGGGUACUUGUACCUGGUGGCGAGCGGCGGACGGGUGAGUAAUGCCUAGGAAUCUGCCUGGUAGUGGGGGAUAACGCUCGGAAACGGACGCUAAUACCGCAUACGUCCUACGGGAGAAAGCAGGGGACCUUCGGGCCUUGCGCUAUCAGAUGAGCCUAGGUCGGAUUAGCUAGUUGGUGGGGUAAUGGCUCACCAAGGCGACGAUCCGUAACUGGUCUGAGAGGAUGAUCAGUCGCACUGGAACUGAGACACGGUCCAGACUCCUACGGGAGGCAGCAGUGGGGAAUAUUGGACAAUGGGCGAAAGCCUGAUCCAGCCAUGCCGCGUGUGUGAAGAAGGUCUUCGGAUUGUAAAGCACUUUAAGUUGGGAGGAAGGGCAGUUACCUAAUACGUAUCUGUUUUGACGUUACCGACAGAAUAAGCACCGGCUAACUCUGUGCCAGCAGCCGCGGUAAUACAGAGGGUGCAAGCGUUAAUCGGAAUUACUGGGCGUAAAGCGCGCGUAGGUGGUUUGUUAAGUUGAAUGUGAAAUCCCCGGGCUCAACCUGGGAACUGCAUGCAAAACUGGCAAGCUAGAGUAUGGUAGAGGGUGGUGGAAUUUCCUGUGUAGCGGUGAAAUGCGUAGAUAUAGGAAGGAACACCAGUGGCGAAGGCGACCACCUGGACUGAUACUGACACUGAGGUGCGAAAGCGUGGGAGCAAAC